GACAUGUUAUGGCUCUUUGUUGUCAUCUUGUUGAUACAAUCUGUUUUUCUUUAGCCAUUGUGUCACAUACUGUAACAUUUCAGAAGUGGUUCAUGUGUUGUCAGCACUAGAUAUGGGGGUUAUGUCAGAGCUUUUUUUAGUGUUUUCUACAAGCUGAAACAUUGAAAAGUGACAUCUGCCAAUGAACAAAUGAUUUCAAACAAGUGUUGUUAUGUGGCCAAAUUUUGUUUGAGGAAUUCAGUUCGAUUGUGCUCCAUCUGCAAACAUAAUUUAAAAAUGUCUCUAUUUCUCGCUGUAAAUUCACCAUAUGAUUAUGGCAUCUUAUUUGUAUUUCCAAAUAGGAAUUGUUAAAAGAUUGGAAUGCCUUAUCGGACACAUGGAAUUGAUCCAGCACACCUUUAGAAUGGUCAUCUUCUGAUGGUUCCCCGAUUCUCCUCUGGCUCCUCUGAAAAUAUUACUGUCACAAAGUGCCUGAAAAAACCUACUCUUCAACAUCCACUGUAGUUGCUGGUGAUCCCAGAUUCAUCUGUUAGGCAUUCCAUUAAAGCCAAAGCCAGAAGUGGGCUCCGGUUACCUACGAAUGCAGAAGAUUUGGAU